rnacentral:rRNA from 1 species
GAUGAACGCUGGCGGCGUGCCUAAUACAUGCAAGUCGAGCGAACAGACGAGGGGCUUGCUCCUCUGACGUUAGCGGCGGACGGGUGAGUAACACGUGGAUAACCUACCUAUAAGACUGGGAUAACUUCGGGAAACCGGAGCUAAUACCGGAUAAUAUAUUGAACCGCAUGGUUCAAUAGUGAAAGACGGUUUUGCUGUCACUUAUAGAUGGAUCCGCGCCGCAUUGGCUAGUUGGUAAGGUAACGGCUUACCAAGGCAACGAUGCGUAGCCGACCUGAGAGGGUGAUCGGCCGCACUGGAACUGAGACACGGUCCAGACUCCUACGGGAGGCAGCAGUAGGGAAUCUUCCGCAAUGGGCGAAAGCCUGACGGAGCAACGCCGCGUGAGUGAUGAAGGUCUUCGGAUCGUAAAACUCUGUUAUUAGGGAAGAACAAAUGUGUAAGUAACUGUGCACGUCUUGACGGUACCUAAUCAGAAAGCCACGGCUAACUACGUG